rnacentral:lncRNA from 10 species
AAGAGACAGAGUUGAGUGACUUGCCCAAAGACACAGGGCCAGUGAGGAGUUGUGCAGGUUUGCCCUGGCAUUAAAAUAAUAAACAUUGAAAUUCAGUCGAUUCCCCUAUGGACUCAGUUAUAGAUCUCAUCAGUUGAAGGAAGAGAGAUGCCUUUUCCUAUUCAGCCUUUUUGCAAUCCUUCCAUCUAGAGGAGAUGUAUCUUAUAAUAUCC